GCCUGAUGCAGCGACGCCGCCUGAGGGAUGACGGCCUUCGGGUUGUAAACCUCUUUCAGUAGGGAAGAAGCGAAAGUGACGGUACCUGCAGAAGAAGCACCGGCUAACUACGUGCCAGCAGCCGCGGUAAUACGUAGGGUGCGAGCGUUAUCCGGAAUUAUUGGGCGUAAAGAGCUCGUAGGCGGUUUGUCGCGUCUGUCGUGAAAGUCCGGGGCUUAACCCCGGAUCUGCGGUGGGUACGGGCAGACUAGAGUGCAGUAGGGGAGACUGGAAUUCCUGGUGUAGCGGUGGAAUGCGCAGAUAUCAGGAGGAACACCGAUGGCGAAGGCAGGUCUCUGGGCUGUAACUGACGCUGAGGAGCGAAAGCAUGGGGAGCGAACAGGAUUAGAUACCCUGGUAGUCCAUGCCGUAAACGUUGGGCACUAGGUGUGGGGACCAUUCCACGGUUUCCGCGCCGCAGCUAACGCAUUAAGUGCCCCGCCUGGGGAGUACGGCCGCAAGGCUAAAACUCAAAGGAAUUGACGGGGGCCCGCACAAGCGGCGGAGCAUGCGGAUUAAUUCGAUGCAACGCGAAGAACCUUACCAAGGCUUGACAUGUUCUCGAUCGCCGUAGAGAUACGGUUUCCCCUUUGGGGCGGGUUCACAGGUGGUGCAUGGUUGUCGUCAGCUCGUGUCGUGAGAUGUUGGGUUAAGUCCCGCAACGAGCGCAACCCUCGUUCCAUGUUGCCAGCACGUCGUGGUGGGGACUCAUGGGAGACUGCCGGGGUCAACUCGGAGGAAGGUGAGGACGACGUCAAAUCAUCAUGCCCCUUAUGUCUUGGGCUUCACGCAUGCUACAAUGGCCGGUACAAUGGGUUGCGAUACUGUGAGGUGGAGCUAAUCCCAAAAAGCCGGUCUCAGUUCGGAUUGGGGUCUGCAACUCGACCCCAUGAAGUCGGAGUCGCUAGUAAUCGCAGAUCAGCAACGCUGCGGUGAAUACGUUCCCGGGCCUUGUACACACCGCCCGUCAAGUCACGAAAGUUGGUAACACCCGAAGCCGGUGGCCUAACCC
rnacentral:rRNA from 1 species